UACGAAGGGGCUAGCGUUGCUCGGAAUCACUGGGCGUAAAGCGCACGUAGGCGGGUCUUAAGUCAGGGGUGAAAUCCUGGAGCUCAACUCCAGAACUGCCUUUGAUACUGAGGAUCUCGAGUCCGGGAGAGGUGAGUGGAACUCCGAGUGUAGAGGUGAAAUUCGUAGAUAUUCGGAAGAACACCAGUGGCGAAGGCGGCUCACUGGCCCGGUACUGACGCUGAGGUACGAAAGCGUGGGGAGCAACAGG
rnacentral:rRNA from 1 species